GACGAACGCUGGCGGCGUGCUUAAUACAUGCAAGUCGAACGGAAAGGCCCUGCUCUUGUGGGGCGCUCGUGUGGCGAACGGGUGAGUAACACGUGAGUAACAUGCCCUUGACUUUGGGAUAACUUCAGGAAACUGGGGCUAUUACAGGAUAUGAGCUGCUGAUGCAUGGUGGGGGUUGGAAAGUGUCGGCGGUGGGGGAUGGAUUCGAGGGUUAUCAGCUUGUUGGUGGGGUAGGUGCUUUCCAAGGUUUUGACGGGUAGCCUGCAUGGGAGGGUGGACAGCCUCCUUAGUCCUACGGUACGGCCCAGACUCCAACGGGAGGCAGCGGGGGGGAAUAUUGCACAAUGGGGGGAAGCCUGAUGCGGCAACGCCGGGUGCGGGAUGACGGGCUUCGGGUUGAAAACCGCUUUCGCCUGAGACGAAGCGUGAGUGACGGUAAUGGGUAAAGAAGCCACGGCUAACUACGUG
rnacentral:rRNA from 1 species